UCAUCACAAAGGCUUCCGGAAAAGGUAUGAAAAAAAGAAAUACAAAGAAGGACUGUUCAGCUGGUGUCAAAGGACUAACUCUUGGCCUAAAUUUUUCAUUUUUCAGUGAAUUACAACAAGCAGGACUUUAACAGUGACUCUGAAUACAUCUGGAGCAUUUUAAGGAACAAAAUAAAAGUGAGGAUUGCCACUUUGUAAUCCCCGAUCCAAGAAGCUACAUGUUCUUUUAGGCAGAUUGAUACAAGCUUUAAGUGAGCAAAGGGCUGAAAGCAGAGUAUUUUCA
rnacentral:lncRNA from 1 species